rnacentral:lncRNA from 1 species
UCCGCAUUCUUCCAUGCACGUAUGGAGGCUUGUGUUCUUAACGAGCACCAAGAAACUUCUCAUCUCUGAAAGAUGAAAUCACCUGUUUCUCUUCAACUCUUCUCAAACUCAUUUCUCUGUUUUAUUAAAGCCCGCCCCUUCCUCAACCACAACAAAGAAUGUGUGCUAAUUAAUUCAAGUCAAUCUAGUGCCUAGAAUUCCUGCCAUGUGCUAACAGUAGAACCUAAAGCAGAGAAAUAAAGGGUACUGGGUUCUGUUACCAUUUUUUUUUUUUAAACACUGAAUCACUUUGGAUAAAACCAAGAGUAAUUGUACCUAUGAAAUGGCAAACAAGUGGUUCACAUGCAAUCAGAUUAAUGCAUCUGUUUGUGUAAUAUGCUUUGAGAUUCUUUGUUUAAAAAGAAAGAUAACAAAGAUAAUAAUAUAUAAAUACAACAAUUUGGAAAAAGUCCCGUGUACACCAUAUUUAUUCAUAAAAUGUUACUCUCCUCACGUUCUAUGAUAAAAGUAACAAAAGAAAGGAACACUCAAAAUACAGUUUCUGGUAAGAAAAGCAACCAGAUGUUUUAAAGAAAAUGUCUCUAAAUUAGAUGCUAAUGUGUGAUAUCCACAGAGAAAUUCCCCUUCCCCAAGUAGCCACUAAGCCCAAAUACAUAUAUGACUGUAAGGUAGUGCCCCUCCUAAUUCAUCCUUGUCUGUAUAAUUUACCCUCCCAGAAUCAUUCAUGAGUCCUACCUGAAAAAAAAAUACAUUGCUUUAAAAGUAUACCCUGUUUUUUAAAAUAUUUUGUUUAGUUGAUUUACAAUGUUCUGUCAAUUUCUACUGUAGAGCAAAGUGACCCAGUCACACAUACAUAUACAUUCUUUCUCUUACAUUAUCCUCCAACCUGUUCCAUCACAAAUGACUAGAUAUAGUUCCCUGUACUAUACAGCAGGAUCUCACUGCUUAUCCACUCCAAACACAAUAGUUUGCAUCUAGAUACAAAAAAUAUACCUGUAUGACACAUCCACUUUUGCUACAAGUUCCUUUUUCAAACAAACAGCAAGGAAUGAAGUUUAAUUGCUGAUCCAGGCUCAACAUAGUAGGAUCUUCCAGAUAUUUUAACAGGUUACUCAGAGUUCCCUCUUCUAAGACAAUUCCUGAACCAAAGCACAGGAAUACUUAGAAUGCAGUGGCCUAAUUUAAUAAAUAACUCCAAUCCUAGAACUGAAAAGGCCAAGAAACAGACCCAAGCUGCUGUGACCCAUGACCCACUGACGUGUUCUCAUGUGUCCAUCACAUAAGAUGGACAGUGGAGAAGCGCGGUAACAGAUAUUUUCUACUCUUUCGUGAAAUGAAACAUUCUCUGUGUUACAGAUGACAUAUCAGGCUUUGUCAUCAGAGUCAUACUCUCAAGUUUUGCCGGUGGGAAGAUUGUGUCUGCUAAUAGCUGGAUCCAAAGUUGCCUGAAAAUCUGAGAGAGGAAUUUGCCCCCAGUUGCCCUGUUUUCAAAUCAAUCAGACUUCACUUGAAGCUCAAAUGUGACGAUGACCUACCUUGUCCUGAUUAUCCUGUUUAUUAAAUGUCUGGGUUUUACUUCCCUCCCUUGAUUGCAUCUUUGUGUUGGCCACUGCACUCUUUCUCCACCAGAGAGAAGAUCUAGAAAGCAAAAAGAAGUAAAACUGGAAUUUGUGAAUUAUUCUUUAUUAUUAGUGUUGGGGGAAAAUAAUUUGGAUUGAAAUGUUUUUCAAAAAAAUCAAUAAAUAAAAUUUGAAGUUUCAAUAAAUAGGUUUGAACCCUUAUUCCUAUUACUAAGCCAAGUUAACUAGAAAAUAAUAUAUUUUUAUUUGUAGUUACUAAAAAAGGCCUUACUGUUUUUAAAGUGCUUUCAUGUCAUCAUCUCAUCAGAAACUCCUGAAAUUUCUGUACAAUACUUUGUGUGGGUAUUAUUUAUUUUUAUUUUAAUAUUACCAGUAAGCACUCCAUUUUAUAAAUGAAGAAACUGAGGACAAAAUGUUGAGUGUUGCUCUGGAAUACCUAGCUAAUAGUGGUCAAGUUGAGACUAGAUACCAGCUCUUCUGACCUAUGAUACCAGAUGCUUUCUACCCAGCCUUUGCUUUCCAGGCAAUCACAUGGUUCUUAGCUGGAAGGGUCCUAUAUGCAGUUGUUCACAUCGCAGCCUACUGGGUUCCAAAAAUGCAGUUGUAGAACUUAGAAUCCAUUGUCCCACCAGAACAAUAAUGCCUAUAUCCCCGUGUCAAUUCACAAAAACCUACACCUGACCCACAAGAGUUAAGUACGUUACUUUAAGACAAAAUGUAUUUCACAGAGGAAUAUUCUCUCAAGAAAGUUUCAAGGAAAAAAUCCCAAGGUCAAAUAAGUUUGGGAAACACUGCAUAUCAUAUAUCCCACUCAGAGACUCAUAAUGUACAUUUGCAUAUUAAAGGCUUUAAGAAAUUCUGCAGGAAAGAAAAACUGCUUAAAAUUGUUCCAUUGAGAAUCCAUCGACCUUCUUUGACUUUGAAACCCUUUUAUUGAGUAACAGAUACUAACACCCAAAACUAGAGUUCCCCAAACCACAUUCUGAAAAUCGCUGCUGCAGGAAAAUAUGUUGAGUUGCCAUUUGAGAUGUGAGGAGCAUCUCUGCAGCUCUGAGAUUGGGGGUAACCCCGAGUGGAAGAUGGAUACUAGUGAUCAUUCCUGUGAAAUCAGUGUGGGCCUAAAAUCAAUAAUAGGUGCUGGGACAUAAAGCAGAAUCAGACAUGGAAGGAUAAGGAACAGAUCAAUAAAGGACAGGAACGAUGCCUGGGAACACCGAAAUGAGACCAGGAUGAUGGGGCUGGGAUACAUAAUAGUGAACAUGACAACAGUGCAGCUAACUUGGAGAUUUCUUCUGCCUUCCUCUUUCUUCCUCCUCAAAUCCUGUGACUAGAGACAUUCCCCUAGAACAAAAAAGGGUAGGAAACAGAGAGAGGCUGAGAGAAGGAGGGGUAGACCCCAGCAUUAACGGUUCCAUGGAAGGAAGAGACAGAGACGAGAGGCACCGCAAACAGUGGGCUAACAUCACGGUGAUAGCUGGCUACAUUCCUUCCCUUCUCUUGAGAAUACAGUCCACCUCCUUGUCUUUUCCAUCUUCUUGGGGCCAUUCCCAUUCCUUGGCUCGUGGUCCCCUUUUUCCCUCCAUCUUUAAAACAUGAGGGGUAGGAAGAGUUCUCCUCACACUGCAUCCCUUGGACCUCUUCUUUGGCCUUCUUUCCACUUUUAAGAACCCUUGUGAGGAGUUCCCGUUGUGAUGCAGUGGUUAACGAAUCUGACUAGGAACCAUGAGGUUGUGGGUUUGAUCCCUGGCCUUGCUCAGUGGGUUAACAAUCCAGCGUUGCCAUGAGUUGUGGUGUAGGUCACAGAUGCGGCUCAGAUCCCGCGUUGCUGUGGCUCUGAUGUAGACUGGUGGCUACAGCUCUGAUUAGACCCCCAGCCUGGGAACCUCCAUGUGCUGCGUAAAAAAGAACGCUUGUGUUUAUACGGGGGCCACCUGAAUAAUCCAGGAGCAUUUCCCUCGCUACUGAUUAGUGACCUUAAUUCUCUUUGGUCACAUUGGUUAACACAUUCACAGGUUGCUGGGGUGAGGACAUGAACAUCUUUGGGGGGCUAUUAUUCUGCUUACCACAGCAUCCUAACUGUUAGCCUCCUCCUUGAUUUUAUUCCUCUCCCCACUCCCAUUUGCCCCAGGCCCCUCUAACACUCAUCUUGUAUGUAAUGAACUUUUACUGAAGAUUUGUGGAUUUCGAAGGGUGAUCACCGUACAGUAUAGAAAGGCAAUUAAAAUCAAGUAUGAAAUUUCUCUGCUUCUAAAAUUUGGGGCCACAAGGAGUUUCUUUUGAGCCAUGUUCCCUUCUGAUCUGCCCAUUAUCCCCAUCUUAUUUGCUCCCCCUCUUAUUCUCUCUCCUCAAAACACCUUCCUCCCAAUUCUCACUGGAAAUGGAAAAUUCCUCUUACUCUAUUAUUUAAAGCAAAUUAGCUUGUUUUGUCUCAGCCUUUUUCAUCCAAGGUAUGUCAUGGACCUUCCUUUUCAUUACCAAAAAGACCUAUCAGCAUCUUCAGAGACGAAUUCUGUGUUUGCAGUUCAUUUUACUUCUUUUUAAAAGUAAUAAUUUUCUUUUCCCGACAUGGUAACAGAGAAGGUUUUAAUUCCAAUUUUAGAAAGAAUAGUCCCUUUCCAUUACACGUGGGUGACCUUCUGCAAGGUCUGCAGUACAGGGACGAAUCAGACAGUGGUUUACAAAGAAAUGAAACCAACUGCCAUAUUAUCACCUGGGAUGUUGGGAAAUCAGCCUGACUCUAGGAAUCAGAGCCUUGGCUACUGAUUCUGUUCAUGCUUCAAAUGGCCUGGUGACUUUGGGCAAGUCAUGGCCUCUCCCAGUCACCAUGUUUUCACGUGUAAAACAGAAAAGUUGAAUUAGAGGUUCUCUGGGUCCCACAAUUUUAAUUCUCUAGAAUUCAGACUUGGCACUUUCUCUGUGUAGAAAGAGUGUGGCUCUUGGAGAAAUCAGCUCUAAAGAAUCUGGUAAUGUUUAGCCAGUGGGUCUCUCCUCAAAAUUUAGAGGAUUUUGAUGAAACAAUGAACCUGGGAUUGUAUAUUAAAAACAUAUUUUCUAGUGCCUCAGGGAUCUCUGAUCAUAUUGUAAAUACCUCAUUGAAUUAGUGGAGUUUAUGUUUAUAGCCUGGGGAGUCUUUAUUUGACUCAAUAAGCAGUUGAGAGCAAACCUGUGUCAGAGGAGUUUUGGAGACUCCCAGAAACUCUAUGACUGUGAUACCUGGCUUAAUCUUCUGGGAUUACAUUCAAUUCAGGGACCCUAGGCUUUUUCUUUUCUUUUUGAAAGGGCGGUUGGGAUGGUAGCCAACCUUCAGAAGCCACAGUGAUGGACUGAAAAGAAAAAUAUGACAAGGCUGGUGUCUUUUGAGAAAGAUUAAUCAACAUGUUAUGUAUGGGACAGAAUGAAAUAGUGAAUGAUCGGCAGCAGGAAAACCAAUUAUGAGACUGUGGUAAAAGUUCAGGCAUAAUAAAAAUGUAACAGGAUGCUGGAUGCGACUUUUCCUGUUGUCUCAGAGUUUCCGCCAAAGCGCCCCAGCUGAGGACAAAAGGCAACAGGAGUCCACACAUUCUAAAGACAGCUCCUAAACACAUCCAUCCAGGGCUUGCUAACUGUCUCUUCAUCCAUUCAAUUAUGCUCCUACCCCAUAUGAGAAGUUAGCGAAUCAUUAAGGGAAGGAUCUGGGGUGUAAGUGGAAAAUGCUACAGUUUGUCUCUCUUCUCAAAUCACAUAUUCCCUGGCGUCUGGGGAACAGGCUGAUGCCUGACUCGCACCUGGAGGUGGAUAGGGACAGAAGCAACAGCAACGAAAAUAGACUGAAUUUGAUAAGAAAAGGGGGAUACAUUUUCAUAAACCAAAUAGCAUGGGAGGUAGUUGGGUUUCAGGGCUGCCUGCUGGGCCCGAGUUAUCAUUUUUUUGGAGAACAGAGCGGUGUUUUAUUUUUUUGUUUGUUUGUUUUUGUUUUUUACCUAUAUUGCAGCUGCAGCUAUGUCAGAUCCUUCUAACCCAGUGCUGGGGAUUGAACCCAUGCUGCCUCAGAGAGAACACCAGAUUCUUAACCAGUUGUACCACCUCGGGAACUCCUAUGUUCUUAAUAGCAGGGUUGGGGAGGAGUGAGAGUCUCAGAAGAACCCACAAAAAUGUUCCUUAAAAGAAAGGGCCAGGGAGUUCUCUUGUGGCACAAGGGGUUAAGGAUCUGGCAUGGUUACUGUAGUGGCUUGGGUCACUGCUAUGGCACAGGUUCUAUCAUUGGCCUAGGAACUU